UACGAAGGGGGCUAGCGUUGCUCGGAAUCACUGGGCGUAAAGGGCGCGUAGGCGGCCAGCGCAAGUCAGUUGUGAAAUCUCCGGGCUUAACUCGGAAAGGUCAACUGAUACUGCGCGGCUAGAGUGCAGAAGGGGCAACUGGAAUUCUCGGUGUAGCGGUGAAAUGCGUAGAUAUCGAGAGGAACACCUGCGGCGAAGGCGGGUUGCUGGGCUGACACGUGACGCUGAGGCGCGAAAGCCAGGGGAGCGAACGGG
rnacentral:rRNA from 1 species